rnacentral:rRNA from 1 species
AUGGGGAAGGAGAGAUUGGCCCUGACGCUGGAGAGGUACCACCGCUUCUUCGUCGAUCCCUACGCCACCCGCCUCACCACCGCCCACCUCAACAACAUCAUCUACAUGCAUGGUUUCGCCAGGCUCCACGGCAAGAAGUCCCAGAUCAUGGACCACAUGGUGGGGCAGGUCGACCUGCAGCCGCCGCGCCGGUCCACGCUGCACGGUGGCGCCGCGCUCGCGCCGCCCUCCGCCGCGCGCAUCGCCGCCGCACAGGCCGCGGCCGACGUCGACGCCAUCGGCUGGGCGGAGUGCCCCAUCGGCUGCGUCACCGCCUUCUCCACCUUCGCUGACCCGCCGGACCCGGUGGAGCCCAUGCCCCCGCCCGCCCACCACAUGCUCGCGCUGGCGGUGCCCCUGCGCCGCCCGCGCUCCAAGAGGACGCGCACCUCCCCCUACCAGCGCCCUGCCUCUGCCGCGUCCAACACGGCCAAGGUGAAGGAGGAGGAGGUCAUGGAAGAGGAGGGUGAGGAUAUGUCGUUGGCGACGCCGUCGCCGCCGCGAUGGAUGCGCUCCCCUACCCCGCCACCUCCGCCCCCGUCGCCCACGCCGCGGCCACAGACCGUGGUGCCUCCGCCACUAUGGAUGCGCUCCCCUACUCCGCCACCUCCGCCCCCGUCGCCCACGCCGCCGAGCAGGGGCCAGCCUGAGUUGGAGCCGACCCUCUCCCGACCACCAGGCUUCGGCUCCCCGCCGGAACCAUGCAGGAGCCGGCCUACGCAGGAGCCGGUCCUCCCCACACCACCACCACCAGGCUUCGGCCCGCCGCCGGAACCAUGCAGGAGCGGGCCUACGCUGGAGCCGAUCCUCCCCACACCACCACCACCAGGUUUCGGCCCGCCGCCGCAACCAUGCUGGAGCCGGCCUACGUUGGCGCCGCCUCCUACCCCACCACCAGGCUUCGGUUCGCGCCAGGUGGCGCCGCCUCCUCCGCACCUGUCCUGGGGCUUGCCGAUGCCACCGCCGUCGGGCCCAGGAGCGCCUACGUUCACGCAGCAUCUUCAGCCUGCAGGUCCGGCACCACUCUGGCGCUCGCCGAUGUCGCCGUCUUAUCCGGCACCGUGCUGGGGCGCGCCGGCGCAAGCGCCCUGGCGCUGGCCACAUCCACCGCCGCGCUGGGCACCACCUCAUAUGCUGCGCCCGCCGCCGCCACCCUGGGACUGCAUGAGGCCGUUUGCACCCCCUAUGCCGCCGCAACAUCCGCCGCAUUUUGAGAUGCAGCAUACGCCACCGGCACCGGGGGCUUGCUCGGGCAGGCAGGUGAUUUACUUCUAG